rnacentral:rRNA from 1 species
GACGAACGCUGGCGGCGUGCUUAACACAUGCAAGUCGAACGGAAAGGCCCUGCUUGCAGGGUGCUCGAGUGGCGAACGGGUGAGUAACACGUGGGUGAUCUGCCCCUUACUUUGGGAUAAGCCUGGGAAACUGGGUCUAAUACUGGAUAGGACCAUGCUGUAGGUGGUGUGGUGGAAAGAUUAGUUUCGGUAAGGGAUGAGCUCGCGGCCUAUCAGCUUGUUGGUGGGGUAAUGGCCUACCAAGGCGUCGACGGGUAGCCGGCCGGAGAGGGUGGACGGCCACAUUGGGACUGAGAUACGGCCCAGACUCCUACGGGAGGCAGCAGUGGGGAAUAUUGCACAAUGGGCGCAAGCCUGAUGCAGCGACGCCGCGUGGGGGAUGACGGCCUUCGGGUUGUAAACACCUUUCAGCCAUGACGAAGCCCUUGUGGUGACGGUAGUGGUAGAAGAAGCACCGGCUAACUACGUG